rnacentral:rRNA from 1 species
UACGGAGGGAGCUAGCGUUGUUCGGAAUUACUGGGCGUAAAGCGCACGUAGGCGGCUUUGUAAGUUAGAGGUGAAGGCCCGGAGCUCAACUCCGGAACUGCCUUUAAGACUGCAUCGCUUGAAUCCAGGAGAGGUGAGUGGAAUUCCGAGUGUAGAGGUGAAAUUCGUAGAUAUUCGGAAGAACACCAGUGGCGAAGGCGGCUCACUGGACUGGUAUUGACGCUGAGGUGCGAAAGCGUGGGGAGCAAACAGG